GUUUCUUUGGAGACAUCCAACAUAUUUGAAACGACAUAAAGAAGAUUAGCGUCAUCCUUGCUUAAGAAUGAUCGACACAAAUCGAGAAACAGUGGAAAACUUA